GCCCUUAGAUCCGUUAUUGGCUCCACAUCCAAUUGGAAUGCACAGGCUCAAAGUGAAACUCACAAGAUAGUGCUCAGCCGAAGCUUGAUCCUUGAAUUAUUCGGCUAUACACCUUUUAGGUACUGUAAUUAAGCACACUUGGCUCUCCCUCAGCUCCCUUAACGCAUCUGGAAGACGUUUUCUUCAGAGAAAAGAAAGGGGAAGGUUUCUCUGACUUCAUAGUUUGCAAAGCAGUCUUGCUCAAAGGAGAGCAUAGCACGAUAAGGGAAUGAGAUAGAGUCAGAACUUCUUGGUAAUAGAGCGCCGGCAAGCGCAUAUUAUAGAAACUUGUUUUAUUCACAGCAUGUACUGGCCCGAAAGCAUAUGACUACCGCAAAGUUCCUAUUAUGAGCCCAUAAGUUUUGAUGUGGUUGGGCUAGACGUAGACUCGGACCCGAUGUCUUCGGCCUACGUUAGCUUUGUGUCUUCAAAGAUUUAUAGUAAAAACAUCUCAUUUCAUUUGAGGAAAGCCUGCUUGAGGAUUUCA
rnacentral:misc_RNA from 1 species